rnacentral:rRNA from 1 species
UACCGAGGUCCCGAGCGUUGUUCGGAUUCACUGGGCGUAAAGGGUGCGUAGGUGGCUUGGUAAGUUUGAUGUGAGAGCUCAGGGCUCAACCCUGAAAUGGCAUUGAAUACUACUGAGCUGGAGGUUUGGAGGGGUGACUGGAAUUCUCGGUGUAGCAGUGAAAUGCGUAGAUAUCGAGAGGAACACCAGUGGCGAAGGCGAGUCCCUGGACAACACCUGACACUGAGGCACGAAAGCUAGGGGAGCAAACAGG